rnacentral:rRNA from 1 species
GAGUUUGAUCAUGGCUCAGGACGAACGCUGGCGGCACGCCUAACACAUGCAAGUCGAACGGAGAUAUUUUGGUUUACUGAGAUAUCUUAGUGGCGGACGGGUGAGUAACACGUGAGCAACCUGCCUCUGAGAGAGGGAUAGCUUCUGGAAACGGAUGGUAAUACCUCAUAACAUAACGAAGCCGCAUGACUUUGUUAUCAAAGAUUUAUCACUCAGAGAUGGGCUCGCGUCUGAUUAGAUAGUUGGUGAGGUAACGGCUCACCAAGUCGACGAUCAGUAGCCGGACUGAGAGGUUGAACGGCCACAUUGGGACUGAGACACGGCCCAGACUCCUACGGGAGGCAGCAGUGGGGAAUAUUGCACAAUGGGGGAAACCCUGAUGCAGCGAUGCCGCGUGGAGGAAGAAGGUUUUCGGAUUGUAAACUCCUGUCUAAAGGACGAUAAUGACGUACUAGAGA